AAAAAGCGACUCAAUUCUACGCUGUUCAAACGACCCCCGUCAUUCAUAUAUUUUCUUGUUUGUCUACCGUACUACUUCUCGAUGUUACAUCAUUUGGGUUUCAACUACCUGACGUACACGUAAUUCAAAAUUAUCAAAACAUAUCUAUUCCUCUAUAUUUGCACAAUGAAUUGAUAAAAUUAACGCAUUUUAUCUCCGGGGUUAUCGGUGUAUAAAAACACCAGCAACCGAGCUGAGAUAUUACUUUUGAAAAAGGAGAACUCAGCGAUAGAUCGUUUGAAUUUUCUCAAGUGUCUGGUUACCGUCUAAUAUCAACUUUCGUGAUGAAUUUCAACGUCUUCUUCUGGAUCCUGGUUCUCGUGCUUGGCAUUUCAUCGAUGGUCGAUCCGAUAAACGGACAAGGCCAACGUAGAAGACAAUCCGGACUUCGUUCGGCGGCUCGAACUCGUCGUCCGGGGCAUUUUUCGGGAGUGAGAAUCAGACUGGUUCACUGAAAAUCCAACAUCGAUUCUGUGCGAAAUGCUUGUUAUACGACGAUUACGCGCUACUUUGGCUUGGAUUUAUCGGAGAUGUGGAUUGAGGAAGGGCUUCGCAUCGAUCCUGAAACACUCACAGUCUAUUGUUAUUAAGUCUUUCGUUUAUUUUCCCGUUGUGUGAAUAUCUCGAGAAUGAGAUUUCCGCCCUGUUGCACGUAAUUAUGAUAAUUUAAAAAUGGACAUUCAUACCGAUUGAGGAGUAUUAAAGUUUUCUGUUCAACCAAA